rnacentral:tRNA from 1 species
AGCCGACUAGCUCAGUUGGUUAGAGCGUGGUGCUAAUAACGCCAAGGUCGUCGGUUCGAUCCCGGCGUUGGCCA